rnacentral:rRNA from 1 species
ACUAAGCGUACACGGUGGAUGCCCUGGCAGUCAGAGGCGAUGAAGGACGUGCUAAUCUGCGAUAAGCGUCGGUAAGGUGAUAUGAACCGUUAUAACCGGCGAUUUCCGAAUGGGGAAACCCAGUGUGAUUCGUCACACUAUCAUUACGUGAAUACAUAGCGUAAUGAAGCGAACCGGGGGAACUGAAACAUCUAAGUACCCCGAGGAAAAGAAAUCAACCGAGAUUCCCCCAGUAGCGGCGAGCGAACGGGGAGCAGCCCAGAGUCUGAAUCA